rnacentral:rRNA from 1 species
AGAUUGAACGCUGGCGGCAUGCCUAACACAUGCAAGUCGAACGGGAGUAGCAAUACUCUAGUGGCGGACGGGUGAGGAAUACGUAGGAAUUUGCCCUUAAGUGGGGGAUAACCCGGGGAAACCCGGAUUAAUACCGCAUGACCUCGAAAGAGCAAAGUGGGGGAUCGCAAGACCUCACGCUUUUGGAGAAGCCUACGUCGGAUUAGCUAGUUGGUGAGGUAAUGGCUCACCAAGGCGACGAUCCGUAACUGGUCUGAGAGGAUGAUCAGUCACACCGGAACUGAGACACGGUCCGGACUCCGUACGGGAGCAGCGAGUGGGGAAUAGUUGGACAAGUGGGCGACAAGCCGUGAUCCAGGCCAAGUCGCCGCGUGUGGUGAAGGAAGGCCGUUCGGGUUAGUAAACGGUACUAACGUUUAAGGUUAGGGAAAGUAAAAACUACG